rnacentral:lncRNA from 1 species
GCUUAUGAGGACACCGGGCAUGCACACGGGGCAUAGACAUUCAUGUAGACAAAACAGCCAUACACAUGUAAUGUAUGUGUAUACAUUGUAUACAUCUAUACAUAUAAACAAUUUUUUUAUGUAAAAGAUAAAGGGAGAAGAACUCCAAGUGAACCUUUUUUCCCUUCUCUCAUAUGUCACAUCCUGAUCUGUUUCCCCUCCACUCUCUUCAGUUCUACCUUCCCUGUCCCCCAGAUCCACUUUCCUCCAUUCCCUUACAAUAAAAAAUAAAAAAGACAGGCACCCCAAGGGAUAUCAGCUGAACAUGGCAUAACCAAUUACAGUAAGACAAACAAAAGACAGGCGCUCAUGCCAAGGCUGGAUGGGGCAACCCAGGCAAAAGAGGCAGAGACACCCCCUACUCCCACGGUUAGGAGCCCCCAGGAACACCUAGCUACAUAAACAUAAGGUAUAUGAAGAGGACCUAGCUGAGACCCAUAUAAUAUCUGUGUCCGUUGCUUCAGUCUCUGAGUCCCUAUGAGCCCUGGUUAGUUGAUUCUGUGGGCCAUGUUCUCUUGGUGUCCUCCACCCCUCUGGCUCCUACAAUCCUUCCUCCCUCUUUUCUGAGGAAUUCCUCUGACUCUGCCUAGUGAUUGGCUGUGGGCCGUUGCAUCUGCUCAUCAGUUGCCGGAUGAAGCCUGUCUGGUGACAGUUGGGCUAGGCACCAAUCUGUGAGUAUAACUGACUAUCAUUAGGAAUUAUUUCAUUGACCUCUGCUGUGCCUCCCCCACCCCACAAUUGUGUUUGGUUCUGUCCUCAGUCUCUGAUGGUUUGAUCUUCAAGAUCUUCAACCACUACCCCAUGUCACCAUUAUAGCUUUCUUUUUCUUUCUUUCCUUCUUUCCUCUUUUCUUUCUCUCUCUGUCUCUCUCUCUCUCCCUUCCUUCCUUCCUUCCUUCCUUCCUUCCUUCCUUCCUCUCUCUCUCUCUCUUUCUUUCUUUCUUUUUUUCGUCCUUUCCCUCUCUCCCUCUCUCCCUCCCUCUCUCCCUCCCUCCCUCCUUUCUCUCUCUCUCUCUCUCUCUCUUUCUUUCUUGUUGUUUGUUUUUUAAACCAGGUGUCAAGAUUCCCAGACCUCAAACUUUGCAUGUAAGCAGAGCAUGGCUUUGAACUCCUUGAUCCUCCAGCUACAACCAGAAUGGUUGAGAUUAUAGGCCUGCCGCCCUCACAUCUGGUUUCUGUGAUGCUGGCAUCAUAGCUCCAGGCAUGCCUACUACCAACCGAGCCACAACCCCAGCCCUUCCAUUUUGGAUGUGAAACCUGGCAAGGGGCCCGCCCAGGAAGGCAGCGUCCUAGGCAACUGCUUCUGUUACUGCUGUCUGCCUUGUUUUCUUCUUCCUUAUUUACGUGUGCAUGUCCCCUUGUUGAGGAUGAAGAGGGGAGUAUUUCCUCCUGCAUUGCUUCCUAACCCGACGGCAACUGCAGCCUCAGUUCUUAGGCUCCUAAAGGAGCAGCCCACGGAUGCAGCCAUCAGCCAGUCAAGUUUGUUUAAGUAGGUAAGUGAGCAAAACCAGCAUUCUCCCGAACGGAGGGCCAACUUCAAAGUCUGGGUCCACCAUUUCUCUUUCCUUGCCCCUAGUGGCUGUCUUCUUAGAAGGUAUCUUUAUCCAGUAUUCAGUCUGUUAGAAUUGAAUGCAAGAAGAGUUACAAGGAUGUAAAUAGCAUGAGGGUGAGGAGUUUAUAGGUGCUUGGUAUGAGGUCCCACCGUGGGGAAUAGUUUCUUGGGAGUUGGCCAGAAUCAGCUGAGAUAGACUUUGUCCUUUGACUAGAGUCCUGUCCUCAUCUGUCAAACUGGAUUGUCUUCGCUUGUGACCUUGAUAUGCCUUUUAACCUGGUUUUAACUGUGAGACCCACUGCACCGUCAACCUGCCUCUAAAUACUUUGCCGCUCUUUUUGGUUGGUUUACGUUUUAAUUAUUUCGCUGGGCAACGGUGGUGCAUGCCUUUAAUACUACUACUGGAAAGGCAGAGAGAGGGGCAAGUGAAUCUCUCAAGUUUGAGGCCAGCCUGGUCUACAAAGUGAGUUCCAGAGCAGCCAGGACGUUACUCAGAGAAGCCCUGUUUC